rnacentral:rRNA from 1 species
UACGGAGGAUGCAAGCGUUAUCCGGAAUGAUUGGGCGUAAAGCGUCCGCAGGUGGCAAUGUAAGUCUGCUGUCAAAGCGUCUGGCUCAACCAGAUAAAGGCAGUGGAAACUACAUAGCUAGAGUAAGGUAGGGGUAGAGGGAAUUCCUGGUGUAGCGGUGAAAUGCGUAGAGAUCGGGAGGAACACCAGAGGCGAAGGCGGCGACCUGGAGAGUGACUGACACUCAACUGCGAAAGCGUGGGGAGCAAACAGG